ACGGAAAAGUCUGCAGGUGGUGUUGGGACUCACGUGCAGCAGUGAGCAGAGGGUCCGCUCGUGUCCGGAGCAGACAGAAGCCUCCAAUGGCAUAUCAUGGUGGCCGGUCCUCUCCCAGCCAGAAUCUCCUGCUAGCUCUGUAAAAUCCUCAUUUUUGCGACCCUUUCCAAGUCCUCUCUUUGGAGAUUCCUGUUAAGUCAUGGGAGCCUCUGCGAAUUUUCUGACUCAUGCCCCUCAAAGAUGAGACAGCCAGAGUCCUUACCUAGUGCAGGUUGUAUCCAGUAGCUGUGAGGACGCCCCGCUCCCCACGGCCUCCAGCGUUUUGCGUUUUGUUCCGAUUUAGGAGAGAACGGAGAUGAGAGUGUUUGGCUUGCCCUGGAGGGCUCGGGGUUGUCAAUAAACAGAUAAUGCGCGAGAUGGUCUUUGAGGAGGUGAUAUUGGUGUGACUGUAGGGGUAUAAAGAGAGGUGCAUUAGGUAGAAAAGAAUGAGAAGGGCAGCUGGGAAAAUUUGUGAAAGAAUCUUUUUAUAUACUUUUCUCAAUCACAUCAGAAGCAUCUUGAGGACCGAUGACAUAGCUAAUGUAAAUUUCUCUGUCUCCUACAGACAGUACUAAGCGUAGAGGUAUUUUCUCCCAGGAAAAUGAAGAACCAGGAUGCUUAACCCAAAUGAAAGCUGGUAUUAUAGAUUUCCCAUGAGCAGUGCCUUUGUGAACCCCGGAGCAACGUGCUCUUCCUGCCUGUCCCUGACCAACUCAACAGCAUCGUGGCAUGUUUCCCUUUCUAUCCUAAACUAGAGAAUCCCCAUGGAAUCUGUAGUGAGCCCAAACGACAUAAAGUGAAGAAGCAGUUACCACUAAUUUCCAUGGAAAAAUUUUUGAGUGUUCCCAGGUCC
rnacentral:lncRNA from 1 species